GUGUGUCACAAAAUCGAGGGCUGCGACUGUUUACCAAAAACACAGCAACUUGCUAAGACGAAUAGUACUUGUAUAAGUUGUGAACUCUGCCCAAUGCCACGUAUUGUAAAGAAGAGGAUAUGUUUAUCAUGGUCCUUAACUGAAAAGUGGUGAAUGGCGGUCUUAACUAUAAGGAUCUGAAAGUAGCGAAAUUCCUUGGCCAUUAAAUGUGGUCCUGCAUGAAUGAGGUAACGUGGCCCUGCUGUCUCCACAAGCAUCUCAGUGAAAUUGAAUUAGCCGUGCACAUGCGGUUUGCCUUCAGAUAGACGGGAAGACCCUAUGCAGCUUCUACUGA
rnacentral:rRNA from 1 species